rnacentral:rRNA from 1 species
UACGGAGGGUGCAAGCGUUAAUCGGAAUUACUGGGCGUAAAGCGUGCGUAGGUGGUUCGUUAAGUCCGUUGUGAAAGCCCCGAGCUCAACUUGGGAAUUGCAGUGGAUACUGGCGAGCUAGAGUGCGGUAGAGGAAGGUGGAAUUCCCGGUGUAGCGGUGAAAUGCGUAGAGAUCGGGAGGAACACCAGUGGCGAAGGCGGCCUUCUGGACCAGCACUGACACUCAAGCACGAAAGCGUGGGAGCAAACAGG